GACGAACGCUGGCGGCGUGCUUAACACAUGUAAGUCGAGCGGUAAGGCCCUUUCGGGGGUACACGAGCGGCGAACGGGUGAGUAACACGUGGGUGACCUGCCCUCAGCUCUGGGAUAAGCCUGGGAAACCGGGUCUAAUACCGGAUAUGACUCCAUGACGCAUGUUGUGGGGUGGAAAGCCUUGUGCGGCUGAGGAUGGGCCCGCGGCCUAUCAGCUUGUUGGUGGGGUGAGGCCUACCAAGGCGACGACGGGUAGCCGGCCUGAGAGGGCGACCGGCCACACUGGGACUGAGACACGGCCCAGACUCCUACGGGAGGGCAGCAGUGGGGAAUCUUGCGCAAUGGGCGAAAGCCUGACGCAGCGACG
rnacentral:rRNA from 1 species